UGAAUACGAGAUGCUACGGCGUCGAAGCAGUCUAUGUCAUACUUCCAAGAAAAGCUCGCACUGUCAUAAACAAAUAAUGCCUGUACCAUAACCGACACAGGUGGGUAGGUAGAGUAUACUAAGGGGCGCGAGAUAACUCUCUCUAAGGAACUCGGCAAAAUGACUCCGUAACUUCGGGAGAAGGAGUGCCUUAUUUAUAAGGUUGCAAUAACAAGAUCCAAGCAACUGUUUAUCAAAAACACAGGUCUCCGCUAAGUCGUAAGACGAUGUAUGGGGGCUGACGCCUGCCCAGUGCCAGAAGGUUAAAGAAGUUGGUUAGCAUUCGCGAAGCUGAUAACUGAAGCCCUGGUGAACGGCGGCCGUAACGAUAACGGUCCUAAGGUAGCGAAAUUCCUUGUCGGGUAAGUUCCGACCCGCACGAAAGGCGUAAUGAUUUGGAUACUGUCUCGGAGAGGGGCUCGGUGAAAUAGACUUGUCUGUGAAGAUGCGGACUACCUGCACCAGGACAGAAAGACCCUAUGAAGCUUUACUGUAACUUGAGAUUGAAAUUGGACUUUACUUGCGCAGUAUAGGUGGGAGGCGUUGAUAAUAUUCUUGCGGGAUUAUUUGAGCCAUCAGUGAGAUACCACUCUUGUAAUGUUAGAUUUCUAACUUUGUAUCAUUAUCUGGUCAAAGGACAGUUUCAGGCGGGCAGUUUGACUGGGGCGGUCGCCUCCUAAACGGUAACGGAGGCGCACAAAGGUUUCCUCUGAACGGGUAGAAAUCGUAUCUAGAGUGUAAAGGCAUAAGGAAGCUUGACUGUGAGACCUACAAGUCGAGCAGGGACGAAAGUCGGUCUUAGUGAUCUGACGGUGCUGAGUGGAAAGGCCGUCACUCAACGGAUAAAAGUUACUCUAAGGAUAACAGGCUGAUCUCCCCCAAGAGUUCACAUCGACAGGGAGGUUUGGCACCUCGAUGUCGGCUCAUCGCAUCCUGGGGCGGUAGUACGUCCCAAGGGUUGGGCUGUUCGCCCAUGAAAGCGGUACGCGAGCUGGGUUCAGAACGUCGUGAGACAGUUCGGUCCAUAUCCGGUGUAGGCGUUAGAAUAUUGAGAGGAGCCUUCUUUAGUACGAGAGGACCGAGAAGGACAUACCUCUGGUGUACCAGUUAUCGUGCCAACGGUAAACGCUGGGUAGCUAUGUAUGGAGUGGAUAACCGCUGAAAGCAUCUAAGUGGGAAGCCCACCUCAAGAUAAGUAUUCUC
rnacentral:rRNA from 1 species